rnacentral:rRNA from 1 species
AUUGAACGCUGGCGGCAGGCCUAACACAUGCAAGUCGAACGAGUGGCGGACGGGUGAGUAAUGUCUGGGAAACUGCCUGAUGGAGGGGGAUAACUACUGGAAACGGUAGCUAAUACCGCAUACCAUCGGAUGUGCCCAGAUGGGAUUAGCUAGUAGUGGGGGUAACGGCUCACCUAGGCGACGAUCCCUAGCUGGGCUGAGAGGAUGACCAGCCACACUGGAACGGAGACACGGUCCAGACUCCUACGGGAGGCAGCGGUGGGGAAUAUUGCACAAUGGGCGCAAGCCGGAUGUAGCCAUGCCGCGUGUAUGAAGAAGGCCUUCGGGUUGUAAAGUACGUUCAGCGGGGAGGCGUUACCCGCAGAAGAAGCACCGGCUAACGCCGAGCCAGCAGCCGCGGUAAUAC